UGGGAUUAAAGGCCUGUGCCACCACCACCC
rnacentral:piRNA from 1 species